rnacentral:rRNA from 1 species
UACGUAGGGUGCGAGCGUUAAUCGGAAUUACUGGGCGUAAAGCGUGCGCAGGCGGCUUGCCAAGUCAGAUGUGAAAGCCCCGGGCUCAACCCGGGAACGGCGUUUGAAACUGGCAGGCUAGAGUUUGGCAGAGGGGGGGUGGAAUUCCACGUGUAGCAGUGAAAUGCGUAGAGAUGUGGAGGAACACCGAUGGCGAAGGCAGCCCCCUGGGCCAAAACUGACGCUCAGGCACGAAAGCGGUGGGGAGCA